AGCAGCCGCGGUAAUUCCAGCUCCAAUAGCGUAUAUUAAAGUUGUUGCAGUUAAAAAGCUCGUAGUUGAAUUUCGGGGUCAGCAAGUUGGUCGUGCCACCGGUAUGUACUGGCUUUGCUGAUUCCUCCUUCUUGUAGAACCGUAAUGCCAUUAGGUUGGUGUUGCGGGGAAACAGGACUGUUACUUUGAAAAAAUUAGAGUGUUUAAAGCAGGCUAACGCUUGAAUACAUUAGCAUGGAAUAAUGAAAUAGGACGAGCGAUCCUAUUUUGUUGGUUUCUAGGAUUGACGUAAUGAUUAAUAGGGAUAGUUGGGGGCAUUAGUAUUCAAUUGUCAGAGGUGAAAUUCUUGGAUUUAUUGAAGACUAACUACUGCGAAAGCAUUUGCCAAGGAUGUUUUCAUUAAUCAAGAACGAAAGUUAGGGGAUCGAAGACGAUCAGAUACCGUCGUAGUCUUAACCAUAAACUAUGCCGACUAGGGAUCGGAUGAUGUUAAUUUUAUAAUGACUCAUUCGGCGCCUUA
rnacentral:rRNA from 1 species